rnacentral:tRNA from 1 species
GCUGGUGUAGCUCAAUGGCAGAGCACUUCAUUCGUAACGAAGCGGUUGCGGGUUCGAUUCCCAUCACCAGCUCCA